UGCUUUACACAUGCAAGUCGAACGGCAGCACGGGUGCUUGCACCUGGUGGCGAGUGGCGAACGGGUGAGUAAUGCAUCGGAACGUAUCCAAUAAUGGGGGAUAACGCAUCGAAAGGUGUGCUAAUACCGCAUACGAUCUAUGGAUGAAAGCGGGGGACCUGCAAGGGCCUCGCGCGAUUGGAGCGGCCGAUGUCAGAUUAGGUAGUUGGUGGGGUAAAGGCUCACCAAGCCGACGAUCUGUAGCUGGUCUGAGAGGACGACCAGCCACACUGGGACUGAGACACGGCCCAGACUCCUACGGGAGGCAGCAGUGGGGAAUUUUGGACAAUGGGCGCAAGCCUGAUGCAGCUAUGCCGCGUGAGUGAAGAAGGCCUUCGGGUUGUAAAGCUC
rnacentral:rRNA from 1 species